CUCUUAUCCAGAGAGGUGGAGGGACCGGCCCUGUGAAACCUCGACAACCUGAAAACCCUUUAAAAAGUGGGUUUUCAAGGUGCCAAGUCCGGCAGAACGAAUUCUGGAAGAUGAGAG
rnacentral:ncRNA from 1 species